CGGCCGUUAACAAGGAUCACCUGCUUCGAGAAGGACACUGAGAGAAGGGGUUGAUCGCUGCCUGAUCCGGUAGGGAAGAAAAAAAAAAAGGCUCGGGAUGAUUUGGGGAAGAAAAGAAGGAACGGAGCUACGGAGGGUGAUGACACCGCGCCGGGAAGAGCCGCUCCUUCCCCACCCCGUCACCAUGAAUGGGUUACAGCGCCGGGAGCGGGCGCGCCGGGAAGGGGGCGGGGCCUACUGCCAUAUUAGGGAUUCUCAUUUGCAUAGCGCGCUCUGAUUGGAGAAGCGAGGGCAGUUCUGAGCCGCUCGGCAGCAGCCCCGGCCCCGAACAACCCCCGGAGCGCGGCGGCGCGGGGCUGUCCCGGCGCGGGGCGACACCGCCGCGUCCCACCCGGGGACCGCAGCGCCCCGCCGGACCUCCUCCGUCCCGGCCUCGUAAAGCAGCCGCACACGCAGCCGCUGAUCGCUUUCAAGCGCGAUAUUUGAAAACACCACCACCACCACACACACCCCGAAACGUUCGGAUGGGGCUCUGUGUGAGGGGAUGGGGGCACGAGAGGCCGCCCCACCCGCAGCACUCCCCGUGCACGGGGCUGUCAGCCCGAACCUGAACACUUUGCGUUAAACCGAUGUAGGAAAACAUUCCCCGGUAAAGGACAGCGGAGUUGACCCGGCCGGCUACAUAGCGGGCCGCUCUGGUUUUAUUUUAUAAAGCCAUUUGGGCUCGCUGCUAUUUUCCUUCUGUGUUCUGAUCCGGGCAUAGAUCUGCCUCCGAAAUCCAUAUAACACCAACGCGAAAACAGAUUUCAAGACAAUGAAUGCAAAUCUGUGCUCAGAGACCAUCUGCCAGAUGAGGGAAUCAGAUGUUCGGUAGUUAAAGGGACAGCGCGAGGAUUUCCUCCGCUCAUUAUGCGCAGCUCCUCUCUCCAACCCGCUUUAUUUUAUAACGGGAUGAGAUUCAGACCGAAAUUCAAGCUGUGCUUUCAGCUCCUGCUUCCAUUGCCAUUUCGCGGAGCCACCUUCCUAAUACGCGUCAGACUGAUACGGUUUGAUACGGUUCUCCUAAAAUAAUUACCGAAAAAGAUCGCAAAUAAAAGUCUUCCUAUAAGGUUUUCAUAGAAAUGCUUCCUUAAUUCAGCCCAAAGCCGGGACUGAAUUAUUCUGUCCACACGAGUGACAGAUAUGGCAGGAGAUGAACCCAUCCAUCCCACACCAUCGCUGUUAAGGAGAUUUACCACCCGAACGCACCUCCCCAAAGCGAUCCGUGCGCAAUGAGCGACCCGAGCAGGGCAGCAAAAGGGGCAUUGCUGAAUAAAAGCAGCAGUUCGGUGCUGCGGUCCCCACUGAGAAACCGCACCUCACGGCUCCAAGAUUAAAACUUAGAAAAAGAGGGUGAUGUACUCAAAGCAAAGGUAUGAGAGAAUAAGAACGUACUGCGUGAAGGGACGGGGACUUUUUGUCGCCACCCCCACAACAGGCACGGGUCCGUUCCCUCAGCUCAAUGUCCCCUCUUUGUAACAGGAUCGUUUUUGGCAGUGCCACCCCGAUCGUUUCCGCAUCAAUCCCUAAAGCCGGGGCAGGGAUGGGAGGGGGUGGCGGUGGAAUUCCCACCCGAGCGAACCUUGGCUGAUGUAUUCACAAGGAGAAAGUGUUUCCUAAGAGCCGAAGUCUCUCGCUCGCAGUGAUACAGCCGAGUCUGCCCCUGUUAGAGGCGCUCCGGUCGGACUGAAGGCAGCUGCUCGUUCAGUCGCAGCGAAACGCUCAGGAAAGCCCGGUGGGUUCCGGGACCGUGCCGGCUUUAGGGACAAUGGGGACUCGUGUGCCGUGGCCCCGGGGGAGCGGUGCUUUUAGGGAUUCAUAGCGGGUCAGAGGGCAGCGGCGCGGGUCAGAGGAGACGCGCUCCCCUCGCCCCAAACAGCUGCCACCAGAAUUCGGCACUUCAGGGGCAAACGAGCGGAGCCGUUCCCCGGUGGCUCAGCGGGGCUGUGGCCGUGGGGCAGCCCGGGCUCCCUACGCAGUACCCGCGGGAUGGAGGGGGGUCGUGGGCUCAGCCCCACACUGGCGAGAGGGGGGGGGGUUCCCGGUGGGGAGUGGGGAUUUCCUUCCCAACCCCCUAAAGUUCCUUUCCUUUGCAAUGUAUCUCAAUGAGGCAGCACUUAAGCACUUCUAAAUUCUGAACUCCGGGUCUGGAAUCCCUACUUCGAGCGGCCGGGUUAGGCACAGUUUGCGGACAGCACAUCCCUCAACCUCUCCCGAUGUUAAGUUCUCCAAGCGAAAUCAGCAUUGACGUCGGUGCAGCCGCUGCGGAGGUCACUGCGGUUCGGUUAGGGGAGUCCGUUCCAGCGGCAAGCGACAGGGAGAAAAAGUGGAGGAGGAAAGUCAGGCUACAGCCAGUGAAGGCACCGAGAUGGAAGCACUUCGUUCUCGCUCUUGAAUUCGUGGGAAUUCAGUAUCCUUCAGUUGUCCCAAGGGAACAAAUCGUAGGUUAAAAUUGUCAGUGUCGGAGGGGAAAGGAUAACUCCUCGUUCCCUCUUCGCCCGACAAUCUCAGCGAGUUUCAUUCCACAGCCGCACCAGAAAAUAACCGCCUCGUUGUCAAACACUUCACAUUUAAGCCCUCCACAAAGCAAGCUGCUAGCAUGCAAACACGCACCCGUGGUCUCGAAAGCACGCAACGGUAUUUGAGAAACGAAGAGCUCCCCGAAAAUAACUUCCUGGAGCCCAACAGCAGAGCCAUCAACGCAAUGAGAGCACACGGUGCCGAGAAGCAGUGAGAGGUUGUGAUGCUGACUCGGGUUUUAAGGGCAUGGGGCACUCAGAGCACGGACACAGCUCUGCUUUACACGGCUGCUCCGAUUCAACGUAAGCCUCAUUUACAGGAUGGCCCAUUUCACUGAAAUGGGAAUGUUUGGAGUAAGGACAGCCUAUUAAAGUAUUCAAUACAAGAGGUUUAAAGCAGUGCAGGUGCAACUAAAUCAUAAAUGCAGGCUGCGCUCUUAACUGGCAAUGCUGUGUGCAAGACAGGGGUGUGAAAAUGCAGUGUGUUGGGUUACAUCUAUUCUAGAACCUUUUGUUUGCUUUAAGUUCUGCCUUAUCUCAGAAGCAAAGCACUUGAUUUGAUGGUUGGAAAAAGUUUCAUCUCCAAAUAUAGGAUUGCUCUCUAUUCCUCCUCCCUACGCUAUUUGGAAGCAUCUAGAAAUAAGGUUUCACAGCUGGCAGAUCCUGAGCUGUACCUGCCCCUUCCCCUUGUGCCAUAAGGGGAUGCCAACUGGAGCCAACUCUCCCUGCUGAUCAGUGCAUCAUUUGGAGAUGCACACAUCCCAUUUAUAAGCACUGAACAAAAAAAUGCUUUCUAACUUACAAAUGCAUAAGUAAACAUUUGAUAACUUCACCACCACCUCAUCUUCCCCAAAUAGAAAAGACUGUAACCAUCACAUCCUCAAGUCCUCCAUUCAUUCCAGUAAGUAGGUGCUUUUCUCACUAGAACAGAAAAGCACAUCUGCUAGGUUUUAUAUCCAGCUUUUUAAGAUACUUUUACUGCCUUUUGCCUAGCAUAGCUUUUGGAACACGUUAGCAAAUAUUUUACCAUUGGGAGUGUAUGUUCCAUUUUAUUUUAUAAUGCAGACUUAGAAGCCCCAGCACUGAGUUUGUUUCUCUAAGCAUACAGAGCCUCAAACUAACAAGCACAUUUGGGAAGAACACUUCAGGUGGGUCUAUGUUUGUGCUGGAAGUCCCCCUCAUUUUCCAGCUUACGGAAAACAAUGAAGGUCAGCUUCCAAUGUAUCUUAGGAUAUCAAUUACCCAUGUUGAUCUUCAACUCAAGAAGCAAAAUUUGGGUUAUCAGAGCCUUUAUAUAGUUCCACCACACACACUUUGUGACAGAACUCCAGCUGGGAAAUGCAUCCUCCAUAAGAAACCAGACAAAUGCAGACACACUGAAGAGCAGAAUCACAUCCACUCAUUAACAUGAGCCUAAAGCAGUCCCCAGUCCUAUGAACAUUCUUAUCCUUAACCUAUAUUAGCCACCAGAGUGGUCUUACAAGAAUUACUUGACAAUAUACACAUGCUUAACCAUCUGUACAGCGUGGGCCUCCUUUUUAUUUCUUGACUCAACUCAAUUCUGUCUUAAACAGGUGUCUAAUUUCCAUUACAUGAAUACUCAAUCUGAAGCCAUGCCACAGGGACACUCUGCCAACUCACUUCCCCUCUUUAAGCCCCACACUGGAUGAUAAUCUGAUUUUUUUCCCAUGUUUCAAAAUAUAAAGAGCUGUGAACACAACUUUUUGUAGGAGGAACCUGAACCCAGUGAGCAAGGAAACUCACUUAUCAAGAUUCUGAAUCUGGCUGGAGGUUAUUGGUGCUGCCAUCAUACAAAUUACCAGGAAGGAGAAGAUCUCUCUUGGGGAUGGUCAAUAAUCAAAACAUCUGCCUUCCAUGCCUCCUUUUAAAGCAUCUGGUACUUGAAGCUAAGAUAUAACAUACAAGAAGCUUAAUCUAAUCUGACUAGUCCUAUGUUCUUUCCAUAAGGCAAGAAGGAAGUAGUUAGAAGCUCAGUAUAUCAUAAUUAGAGCUUCACAACAUUGGAGAGACAGCUCUGCUCUUCUCUGAAGUGUAUUUAAUAAUUUCAAGAGUAUUGCAGUGUUUUUCUUCUUGAUUUGGUAGAACUGAACCCAUUGCACUCCUGACUCCAUGAAGCUCACUGGACUCCACCCGCAGCAAACCACAUUUCAGCAGCUGCCAGUCUGCGUGACCAGAUUCUGAUCCUGCAAAUGUUUGCACUUUCAUACAGGCAGUGAGGCUGAGGAUCCAUAGCACCAAUGGUUCACAGCAGAUUUCUACAGGGUGAGGGUCCCACAACUCCAAGCUUCCAUUUUUUGAGUUCAUUCUAAAUUAUUAGCACCUACCUCCAUUCCAGACCCUUCCUAGGGGAAGGAGCAAUCCACCAUGAGUUUUACACCUCCUGUGCUAUUCGGUUACCAUUUACCAUCUGAACUGUUUCUUUCAUCACUACUUCAGUAUUCAUUUUUAGAGUAAAUAGAGAUGCUUUGAAAUUUACACAUACCUAAAUGGUUCUGCUACUUAAAAGGAUCUGGGCAGCCUGACUGGACAUCAUUACAUUUCCAUCAUCAGUAUUAGUUAGAUGGGGGAAAGUAAUAUUUUACUAAAUAAGCUGAUACUAUUCCUAGUAAAGAGCAUUGCUAAUAUACUUAAAAUGAAAGGCUGUACCACGUGCCCCCUGCAACCAAGCUGAGACACUGCAACAGAAGGAAAGAAUGCCCUUUAACUUUGUGCCUGACAGAUAUAUCAUAUACCCAAAUAUAACAACUUUAACUGCAGCUUCUCAAGCAUGUUUUCCAUAAGCAGAAACUCACAUCAAAGAUGAAAGCUGAGGACAGAUAGUCCGUACACACCGGCAGAAGAUGGACCCAAGGCUUGAUGGGUGGUAUCAUGCCUGGGCACACAGAUAAGGCUCUUCUGGAGGCAUUCUAGGGAAAUAUCCAAAUAUGAACAGACAGCAUGAGAAGCAGAUCUCUUUCUACAGGCUCUAGGAUUCAGUCAGUCCACAUUAAGAAAUCAAGCUAAGGGCAUUAAAUUCAGAUUAGCUGAUAUCUGAUAAGAGCAGAAGUCAGAUUAGAGUCUCACUGGUGAAGGAUCAUUGUUAGCACAACAAAAAGGCACCUUUAAAACAAUCAGAGUCAGACUGUGCAGCAGGUAGGUAUGCCUAAAGUAGACUUCAUUGUGAGCCACGAGAUUUUAAGUAGUAACAAGCCUUGAGAUCAGCUCAGGCAUGUUUUCCUUACUUAGUGUUUCUCCCAUAGAUGGGAGAAUAAGAAUUGUCCCAUUAGCCACAGUUCAUCAGAAGGUGUCUGUGUUGGGGACAGUCCUCUCAGGGCAGGCCACCCUAGUGUUAUAGUCAUUGCACACCAGUUGGAUAAUACCAGGCCAGAAGGGGAAUGGAAGAAACCAGUUUUCCACAUGCAUCUUCCCCUGGUAUUGAGCUACUGGAGAAAGCAGUACAAUAAAGCUUUGGCCACUCCAAGUCCACAGGAUGUCAAUGACAACAGAACUGAUGAAUGGGUUCAGAGGGGUUCAGAAAAGCACCCCAAGCAGAUAAAGCUUUGCCAUCCACAUGUACUCUUUGGCUUUAGAGAAGGAAAACACACUGUUGUUUUCAAGAGCAUGUGUUCUGAGCAUCUGAAGGGUAGAAUAUGUUGGAGCAUAUGGCAUAUAAUAUCUUUUUCCAUUCAUAAUCUGCAGCAAGACAGCAAAAAUCAGUUCUACUAAGUACAGGCUCCAGCUUUCAUUUGAAAACAUUUCCAGUGUGAUGUCUUUCCAGCAGGCCUACUUAGGCAUCAUCUAGACAGACAAUUAUCAAAGUAGCUGGAUGUUUUCAUAGCAAUAGAUGGGCUAUGGAAUUUGCUUAUAGCAAGUCCACGCCAAAUCACUGUAAGACUCCCCUGCUUGCUACUUCCACUGCUGGGUUGCAAAUACAAACAGUGUGGGUGCUAGCAAUGUGCUCUGCUUAUGUGCCACCCUAGUUACUGGUGUCUUACACAGAUGGAAUAAAGCUCCUUCACUGCACAGCUCACAGUCCAAACUUCACAAGAAAGUGAUAAGAGAACAGAUGCACACAAAAGGAAAGCCAAGAGAAGAUAUGAUUUCACCUGAGGACCACACACUGCAGCAUGAAGUCACUCUAGGACAGUCACUCAUUUUCCAAGACUCAGUAUCUGUUUAUUUCCCUUUCACUACAAUCACUUAUUUGGUCAAAGAAUUCUCCAAGUAAUCCAUGAGAUAACCUACAGUAACCACAGCUGCCUUAAAUGUUUCCAAAUAGGCCAUGCUUUAUCCUUCACCUUGAAGAGAAUCUCAUGCCCCACCAGCUUGUGCCCCAACAGUUCCAACAUCUGAAAUUCUCAUUUUCUGCUAUGGAGCUGGUCCAGGUUGUCACUUCAGAAAGCCUUCCAGUGGAGGAUGCAAUCAGCUCUUCCCCACGUGCACCCCUGCACCCAGGGCUUCCUGCACUGACCUUGACUGGUCUGUGCUGUGAGCAGCAGGAGGGGGCUGGGUACCACCACCACACACUGUGCAGAAUGCCAGACUGCAAAGCAGCACAGCAUGCACAGCCUCCAGAGGGGUAAAGCAUUUCACAAGAUGGUUUAUGGCAUCUUCUUUCUUUCCCCCUCCCACGUAGAGUAUGAAUAAUGUUAAUGGUGACAGGGCCUACAGGCAAUAAAAGGCCUUUGCAGGUAGCAAACAGCUUCAAACUUUGCUUUGGCUCUCUGCCAGCCACUACAGCCAGUCAGAAUUUCCUAUUAGAGCUUAGGACCAGUGUCCAGCAAGUAAUGACAUGGCCUUAUUGGCUUCCAGUGUGAAGGCAGAUAGGAAGCUGGGUUUUGACUUAAAAGAUCCCAAACUGAAAAAGAGGAAAUUGGCAUUUCACACGUAUCUGCCACUGAUUUAAUACAUACCUACUGUGUAAGGAAAUCCUUACUAUUCUCAUAAUCAGCUGAGAAGGGUCAAAACAAGUAUUAAUUGCAAAGCCAGACAAUGAAAACUGCUUCUUGGAUCAUCAUCCCUUGUUGAAACAGCACAUAAAGCCCAAACCAAGAGUGUAUGGCCCCUCUCUCAAUAUGCAUUUGUAAAAGAGUUCCAAAGAGCUUUAGUGUUGCAAGAAAUAAACUGCAAUUUGAAAUAUAAG
rnacentral:lncRNA from 1 species